UGGGGAAUUUUGGACAAUGGGGGAAACCCUGAUCCAGCCAUCCCGCGUGUGCGAUGAAGGCCUUCGGGUUGUAAAGCACUUUUGGCAGGAAAGAAACGUCGCGGGUUAAUACCCCGCGAAACUGACGGUACCUGCAGAAUAAGCACCGGCUAACUACGUGCCAGCAGCCGCGGUAAUACGUAGGGUGCAAGCGUUAAUCGGAAUUACUGGGCGUAAAGCGUGCGCAGGCGGUUCGGAAAGAAAGAUGUGAAAUCCCAGAGCUUAACUUUGGAAACUGCAUUUUUAAACUACCGGGCUAGAGUGUGUCAGAGGGAGGUGGAAUUCCGCGUGUAGCAGUGAAAUGCGUAGAUAUGCGGAGGAACACCGAUGGCGAAGGCAGCCUCCUGGGAUAACACUGACGCUCAUGCACGAAAAGCGUGGGGAGCAAACAGGAUUAGAUACCCUGGUAGUCCACGCCCUAAACGAUGUCAACUAGCUGUUGGGGCCUUCGGGCCUUGGUAGCGCAGCUAACGCGUGAAGUUGACCGCCUGGGGAGUACGGUCGCAAGAUUAAAAACUUAAAGGAAAUUGACGGGGUCAUAGCUGUUUCCU
rnacentral:rRNA from 1 species